AACGGUCUAUACCUGCGGUACCUGCGGAAGGAUCAUUACAGAGUUUACAACUCCCAAACCCACUGUGAACCUUACAGCGUCGUUGCCUCGGCGGACCGCCCCCGGCGCGGCCCCCCUCGGGGGGGCGCCCGGGACCACGGCGCCCGCCGGAGGACCCAAACUCUUGUAUUUGCAGGAUGCAUUGCUCUGAGUGAAAACAAGCAAAUGAAUCAAAACUUUUAACAAUGGAUCUCUAGAUCG
rnacentral:misc_RNA from 1 species